rnacentral:rRNA from 1 species
GACGAACGCUGGCGGCGUGCUUAACACAUGCAAGUCGAGCGGAGCAGCGAACGGGUGAGUAACGCGUGAGUAACUGACCCCCUCUCUGGGAUCCCAGUUGGAAACGGCUGCUAAUACCGGAUAGUGGGGGAUGACUCGGGUCCAAUCAGCUUGUUGGUGGGGUAUUGGCCUACCAAGGCGACGACGGGUAGCCGGCCUGAGAGGGGGACCGGCAACAAUGGGCUGAGAUACGGACCAAAAUGCAACGGGAGGCAGCAGUGGGGAAUAUUGCAGAAUGGGGGAAACCCUGAGGCAGCAACGCCGCGUUCGGGAUGACGGCUUGCGAGUUGUAAACCGCGUUCAUCCAUGACGCGGUAGUGGCAGAAGAAGCACCGGCUAACUACGUGCCAGCAGCCGCGGUAAUAC